UCAUGACUCUCGGCAACGGAUAUCUCAGCUCUCGCCACGAUGAAGAACGUAGCGAAAUGUGAUACUUAGUGUGAAUUACAGAAUCCCGUGAAUCAUCGAGUCUUUGAACGUAAGUUGCGCCCUAGGCCUCGGCCAAGGGCACGUCCGCUUGGGCGUCGCAU
rnacentral:rRNA from 1 species